AUUGAAACAUCAGUUCCCAUAAGAUCAUUGAAGUUAAGCAAUGCCAAGCCUAGCCAGUACCUAAAUGGGUGACCGCUUGGGAAUACUAAGUGCUGUAAG